AGUGAACGCUGGCGGCAGGCCUAACACAUGCAAGUCGAACGGACGCACAGUAAGUGCUUGCUCUUACGGGUGGCGACUGGCGGACGGGUGAGGCAUGUAUCGGAUACCUCUAUUACGCGGGUGAUAACGCAGAACCAGUUCUGCUACUGCAGCAUAUGUCGUACGGCUGGCUGCAAGCGUCCUUCGGGCUCUUUGUGUUAGUUAGAGACGCUGCCGGAUUACCUAGUUGGGGUGGUAAAGGAACACCAAGGCGACGAUGCGUAGCUGGUCUGAGCGGAUGAUCAGCCACACUGGAACUGAGACACGGUCCAGACUCCUACGGGAGGCAGCAGUAGGGAAUAUUGCGCGAUGGGCGAAAGCCUGAUCCAGCCAUACCGCGUGAGUGAUGAAGGACUUCGGGUUGUAAAACCCUGUUGUUAGGAAAGAAGAGAAGUGGGUUAAUACGCGGCGAUACUGACGGUACCCAAAGAAUAAGCACCGGCUAACUUCGUG
rnacentral:rRNA from 1 species